GAAGCUAGACUGGCAGCAAUCUGGGAACAUGGGCUCAAAUCAAACCAUUGCAGGGCUUGAACAGACAACCUUCAAUGAGACUCCAGGCAAGCUCAAGAAACAACAUCUCAUCUAUAAGGAUUUACAGCCUCUGGACUCAACAAACUUUCUGUCUUAAUCGAGGAUUGGAGAGGGAAGAGUUUACCUGCUUCACAGCACCUCGACCAAUCAGCUUCACCACAGUAACCUCAUUCUGAAUCACCUCGCAGGACAACCAGGAGAGGCAGUCCUUCAUUCCCCCCAGCCGGAAGUGACCAUACGAGCAUGAAUCUGAACUAUUGUCUACUGGUCCCUUUGUCCAUGGCAAAUGGUGCAGGAGUUCCAUCCGGAAGAAUGUGGUGACUGAAAGCAGAGCCGCAACAAGAGAUAUGAGAGCCAGCGUCACUCUCAGUAGCAUCG